UUUCGCGCCUUUUUCUGUCAACUUACGCUUGACCAUUUUUAUUUUCCCGCGCUCUCUCUACUCCGUGACAUCUUAGUGUACGCGUCUAUAUUUUUAUUGUAAAACUUAUUACAGUUAAAAUACAAGUUAAACCAAGUGAAUAGUCGUUUAAUUUAUCAGGUUAUGGGCCCAGUAAAGCUCAGAAAUAAAGACAGUGCAAAAUAUAGUAGUGAAAAGUGAAAAUAAGACUUUGAAUGUGAACGUCUCAUACGCCGACAAACAUUUUUUCUCAAACAGACUUUUGAAGUGUUUUCGUAUAAGAACUGAGUUUAAUUGUGUAAAAUGGCAGCAAAUAAUCAAAUGGCAUUAAUUGAAAAGUUAACCGGUCGUGAAAACUACGCAACUUGGCGAUUUGCAGUGAAAACUUACCUGCAACACGAGGAGCUGUGGGACUGCAUCGAAUCCGACGCAGACGCUCCAGUUGAUAAGAAACGAGACACAAAGGCUAAAACGAAGAUAAUUCUCUUAGUCGAUCCAAUAAACUAUGUACACAUUCAAGAGGCCAGCACUGCAAAAGAAGUUUGGAAUAAGCUGUCGAGAGCCUUCGACGACUCUGGGCUGACACGCCGAGUGGGUCUGCUGCGUGAUCUUUGCAACACGUCGCUAACUGGAUGUCAAAAUGUAGAAGAAUACGUAAGCAAAAUAAUGAGUACUGCUCACAAGCUCAGAAACAUUGGUUUUGCUGUAGACGACGAGUGGCUCGGCACACUGCUGCUCUCCGGUCUGCCUGAAUCCUAUCAACCAAUGAUUAUAGCAAUAGAAAGCUCUGGCAUGAAGAUAACAUCAGAUUCAGUUAAGUCAAAGCUAUUACAAGAUGUUAGACAACCUGACAAUACAUCUACAGCAUUUGUGGCCGAUAAGAAAACACACAACUAUAAAAAGAAACCAUCAAAAGGCCCUAGGUGCUACUCUUGUAAUAAAUAUGGUCAUAAAAGUCCGGAAUGCAAAUCCAAAACCAAAGAUACACAACAAAAGUCAGGCAAAUCAUCUUAUGCUGCCGUGUUCAUUGCAACUACUAGUCAAGAUGAUGCAUGGUAUGUGGAUUCAGGUGCAUCUUCACAUAUGACCAGACAUAAGACUUUGAUACAAAAUAUAACAACUCCUGUCAUACAAAACAUAAGAGUUGCAGACAAUAAAGUGUUAUCAGUGCAAUGCUCUGGAGAAGUGAGCUUAGAUGUCUAUAAUGACAGAGGUGAAGAGAAUAAAGUACUAUUCACUAAUGUACUAUGUGUUCCUGAACUCGCCACAAAUCUGAUAUCAGUGAGUCAGAUAAUACGAAGUGGUGGCCAAGUAAGAUUCAAUGAAGAAGGCUGUGUUAUUAUGAACAGUAAAGGUCAGAUAGUAGCAACAGCAAGUGCAGUCAACAACAUGUACCGGCUAAAUAUGUCUGGAAGAGGCUAUGCAUGCAUGUCAGAUGUUGAAGAAAAAGACCCUUACUUAUGGCAUCAGAGAAUGGGACACCUGAAUUUUCACAGUCUCAGCAAAAUGACUGAAAAUACUGACCAUGUAAUUUUCCCGAACAAAAUAGAAGAUCUGACAUGUGUCACAUGUAAAGAAGGUAAACAGACACGACUACCUUUUAAGAGUAAAGGCUCAAGGGCUAGUAACAUACUCGAUCUGAUUCACUCCGACAUAUGUGGACCUAUGGAAACAGAAACACUAGGAGGUUCCAAAUACUUCAUUACAUUUCUUGAUGAUCAUUCGAAGAAGAUACAUGUUUACUUUCUCCGAAACAAGUCUGAUGCUCUGGAAAAGUUUAAAGAAUUUAAACAUGAAGUCGAAAAUCAGAAGAAUGCUCGUAUAAAAGUCCUACGAACUGACAACGGCUUGGAAUAUGUCAACAAGAGUUUCUCCGACUAUCUGAAAAGUGCUGGUAUUAUACACCAAACUACCACGCAUUAUACGCCAGAACAAAAUGGGACUGCUGAGCGUAUGAAUAGGACUCUUGUUGAAAGAGCGAAGUGCAUGCUCCUUAAUGCAAACUUUCCCAAACAAUACUGGGGUGAAGCAAUACACACCGCUGCCUAUGUCGUCAAUCGUUCACCGACUAGGUCCUUGUCGUUCAAAACUCCUGAAGAAAUAUGGACAGGACAAAAACCGAAUAUAAGUCACAUGCGUAUAUUUGGUUGUGAAGCAAUGGUACACCUGCCCAAAGAGAAACGCAAGAAAUGGGACCCCAAAGCUCAGAAAAUGAUUUUCAUCGGGUACUGUGAUCACACCAAGGGUUACAGAUUUAUAAUACCUGGCACACGAAAAGUAGUCAAAAGCAGGGAUGCUACAUUCCUAGAGUCAACUGUAAAGAGAGAUUAUGUUCCUGUGGAAUUGUCGACGAAUUCUGCAACAAAUAAUGACAACAUUAUUCAGAAGGAAGCAGAAGAAAGUGACACUAACAAUGAUUCAUAUGAAACUGUGUUAGAAGAGAACAGAUCUACUUCAGACAGUGAUUACUUACCUGACACCAGAAUUGAAGCUCCUGUCGCCAGCAACAUGACCCUGAGACCUAGAAAGAAAAUAAAUAAACACAAUAUAAAUACAGAAAGUUCAGAUGAAAGUACUUACCUUUGCCAACAUGAAGAGACUCUCGCAGAUGUUCCAGUAACAUACAGAGAAGCUGUAAAUUCUAUUGAUAAAGAAAAAUGGGAAAAGUCCAUAAGUGAAGAACUACAUUCCCAUCAGAAAAACAAUACCUGGACAUUGGUUGAAAAACCCCCAAAUGCCAAAAUAAUUGGAUGCAAAUGGGUGUUCCGUAUCAAAGAUGAACCAACAGGUCCUCGCUUCAAAUCUCGACUAUGUGCUAAAGGAUAUGCACAAACUGCAGGUAUAGACUACCAGGAAACCUUUGCACCAACAGUGAGGUAUGAUUCCAUUCGAUUAUUGUUAUCCACAGCUGUUCAACAUAAUUUCAAUAUUAUUCAACUUGAUGUCAAGACGGCGUUCUUAUACGGCGAACUAGAAGAAACAAUCUACAUGUCUCCACCAGAGGGCCUGCCGUGUGAAGAAAAUAUGCGUUCCGGUCGAUCCUCACAUGAAGCUGCAGAAAGGAGAGGGAGAGCCUGAGAAAAACAUACCAUACCGAGAGGCAGUGGGCUCCCUCAUGCACCUGGCCAUUGUGAGUCGACCAGAUAUCAUGUUUGCUGUCAGUCUGAUACUUCCCUUCUUCCACGUUCCUCAGUUAUGAUUAUAAGGAUACGAUGGCUCUUACAAUGGAUCGCGAUUCUUUCCUGUUUGAUGAUGACUUCAG